rnacentral:rRNA from 1 species
UACGAAGGGGGCUAGCGUUGCUCGGAAUCACUGGGCGUAAAGCGCACGUAGGCGGCUUUUUAAGUCAGGGGUGAAAUCUUGGAGCUCAACUCCAGAACUGCCUUUGAUACUGAGAAGCUUGAGUCCGGGAGAGGUGAGUGGAACUGCGAGUGUAGAGGUGAAAUUCGUAGAUAUUCGCAAGAACACCAGUGGCGAAGGCGGCUCACUGGCCCGGUACUGACGCUGAGGUGCGAAAGCGUGGGGAGCAAACAGG